GUUCCUGUAGUGUAGAGGUUAUCACAUUUGCUUUACAUGCAAAAGGUUUUUGGUUCAAAACCAGACAGAAACU
rfam:Poecilia formosa, whole genome shotgun sequence.